rnacentral:rRNA from 1 species
AUUGAACGCUGGCGGCAUGCCUUACACAUGCAAGUCGAACGGUAACAGGUCUUCGGAUGCUGACGAGUGGCGAACGGGUGAGUAAUACAUCGGAACGUGCCUAGUGGGGGAUAACUACUCGAAAGAGUGGCUAAUACCGCAUGAGAUCUACGGAUGAAAGCAGGGGAUCGCAAGACCUUGUGCUACUAGAGCGGCCGAUGGCAGAUUAGGUAGGUGGUGGGAUAAAAGCUUACCAAGCCGACGAUCUGUAGCUGGUCUGGGAGGACGAUCAGCCACACUGGGACUGAGACACGGCCCAGACUCCUACGGGAGGCAGCAGUGGGGAAUUUUGGACAAUGGGCGCAAGCCUGAUCCAGCAAUGCCGCGUGCAGGAUGAAGGCCUUCGGGUUGUAAACUGCUUUUGUACGGAACGAAAAGCCCCGGGUUAAUACCCUGGGGUCAUGACGGUACCGUAAGAAUAAGCACCGGCUAACUACGUGCCAGCCGCCGCGGUAA